rnacentral:lncRNA from 1 species
GUAGAAAAAAAGUUUCAACCUAUUAUUUAUUGUAAGAUUCUCAAUCGAGUGUCAACAUAGAACACACUUAAAUAAGUGGUAGUUUUAUCAUUUUUGUGAAAAAUGGAUGUUAACCAUUCAUUUAUUCGUAUGACUGAUUACAAAUUGUGUAAGUUAACGGUAAGAAGAAUUGCAAAAUUUUCAAAGAUAAAUUUAAAAGAUGGU